CCAAUCAAAAUGCAGGAUUUGCAUUAGUCCACUAGUUGGGUGAUACUAAUGUUAAUUAUAUAUCAGCUUUAAACAGAAGGAAUAUCUUUGACUGAUAGUUGUAUUUUGAUUUCAAGGAAUUGAAGAGGCUGCUGCUGUUUUGUUGUUGCCACGUCUUUUGAGGGAAAAGGGAGGAAGCACAGAAGACUUCAUUAAGAUCUGCACGGAGGAAGAAUCUCUUGACAAUGUGAUCAAGCAGACAAAAUUCCCCAGAAUCAUUGGUUCUGGGGAAUUUUGGGAUUUGGACAUGCUAAGCAUAGCAGUUGAGGGGGAGGUCGUUCUGGACUUGGGGUCCACCUCCAUGGCCGCCACAUUAAGCCUUCUUGUGGCAUGUUAUUAUGUGUUUAACAUAAUGUAUCCUACUAAGUGCUCUAAUGCCUUUUUUUUCUGUGAAGCUGCUUUGCUUGAUAUACACCAAACUGCCAAAAAGCGAGUAGCAGUAAAUAAAUUUAUUUCAGCUCUGAAAAUGUAGGAAGCUUUGUAAGAGGCUGCAUUAUAAAAUACUAUGAAUUAGUUUAUAAUUGUUUAUACAAUAUUUAUUUAAUUAUUUUCUAAAAAUUAUACAGAAACCCUGUAAUAAUUAGUGAUUUUGGACAAAGUAAUACAUAACACGAAUAUAGAUUUCAUAGAAUUAUACUAUAAUUGAUAGGCUAUUUAUGCAAUAGAUAUAUUAUAAAAUUUCUUUCCUGUCAAGAUAGUUAAAUUCAGAAUUGGUCAGGGCUUUGAUAGUGUAGCUUGUUCUUCAUGUAUUGUACCAUGUACCAAGCAAGCAAGUACCCACACAGGUAGAUACAUGCACGGGUACUUUGUAUUUCAUUUUUUCAAUCUCUUUUGGAGUGUUUUGCUAAUAAACCACUUUCAGCAGCUAGAUUUCAUUAAGUUAUAUUUCAGUUGAGACUAUUUAUGCAACAGAUGUAUUUUAUUUAUUUUUUAUUCUCUUUCCUGCAGAAAGAUUUUAUAAGGGUUUCAGAUAGUUGUUAUUAUUUAUGUUUCAUUACUACCAUGAAUGAUAGUGAUAUUGUGAUAAUAAAAAUUGUAAUGGUGAUACUCCAAGGUAAUUUUUGAGUGUUUGGUUAAUAAACCACUAUCAGAAGCAAA